rnacentral:rRNA from 1 species
GGAGCUAACGCGUUAAGUCGACCGCCUGGGGAGUACGGCCGCAAGGUUAAAACUCAAAUGAAUUGACGGGGGCCCGCACAAGCGGUGGAGCAUGUGGUUUAAUUCGAUGCAACGCGAAGAACCUUACCUGGUCUUGACAUCCACGGAAGUUUUCAGAGAUGAGAAUGUGCCUUCGGGAACCGUGAGACAGGUGCUGCAUGGCUGUCGUCAGCUCGUGUUGUGAAAUGUUGGGUUAAGUCCCGCAACGAGCGCAACCCUUAUCCUUUGUUGCCAGCGGUCCGGCCGGGAACUCAAAGGAGACUGCCAGUGAUAAACUGGAGGAAGGUGGGGAUGACGUCAAGUCAUCAUGGCCCUUACGACCAGGGCUACACACGUGCUACAAUGGCGCAUACAAAGAGAAGCGACCUCGCGAGAGCAAGCGGACCUCAUAAAGUGCGUCGUAGUCCGGAUUGGAGUCUGCAACUCGACUCCAUGAAGUCGGAAUCGCUAGUAAUCGUGGAUCAGAAUGCCACGGUGAAUACGUUCCCGGGCCUUGUACACACCGCCCGUCACACCAUGGGAGUGGGUUGCAAAAGAAGUAGGUAGCUUAACCUUCGGGAGGGCGCUUACCACUUUGUGAUUCAUGACUGGGGUGAAGUCGUAACAAGGUAACCGUAGGGGAACCUGCGGUUGGAUCAC